rnacentral:rRNA from 1 species
GAUGAACGCUAGCGGGAGGCCUAGCACAUGCAAGCCGAGCGGUAUUGUUUCUUCGGAAAUGAGAGAGCGGCGUACGGGUGCGUAACACGUGUGCAACCUGCCUUUAUCUGGGGGAUAGCCUUUCGAAAGGAAGAUUAAUACUCCAUAAUAUAUUGAACGGCAUCGUUUAAUAUUGAAAGCUCCGGCGGAUAGAGAUGGGCACGCGCAAGAUUAGCUAGUUGGUGAGGUAACGGCUCACCAAGGCGAUGAUCUUUAGGGGGCCUGGGAGGGUGAUCCCCCACACUGGUACUGAGACACGGACCAGACUCCUACGGGAGGCAGCAGUGAGGAAUAUUGGUCAAUGGGUGCAAGCCUGAACCAGCCAUCCCGCGUGAAGGACGACUGCCCUAUGGGUUGUAAACUUCUUUUGUAUAGGGAUAAACCUACCCUCGAGAGGGUAGCUGAAGGUACUAUACGAAUAAGCACCGGCUAACUCCGUG